GUUCUUAGAAGUGGUGAUGCAAGAAGUUUCUAGGAAAGGCCGGACACCAGCUCUUUUAAAGGAUCUGUCUUCUCAAGGAGCCUAGUUGGCUAUGCACAAGGAAAGCGCCAAAAGAGCUAAAGGGAGGAAGGGAAGAGAAAACAUUUGACUCUCCCGUGGUGGUUACUGACCCAGCGUGGGUGCGGGGAGAUUGGGAUGGGAAGUCCAGGUCUGGGGGCAGCCAGCAGUUGUCAGUUUCUCAUUGACAGCCCUGCUCCUUGGAGAUUGUUUUUGUGGGUAGUCUUGUGUGUGGCAUUGGUGGAAUGGCUGAAUCUAGGAGACGCGGCAUGUCCAGAACUUGCUGGAAACUGGCUUUGAGAUUUUGGGCAAGGCUUCUCACCUGGAGCCUCAGUUCCCUCCCUAAUAAAGCAGGGCUGUUAUGAGGAUAAGAUGCAAUCGUGAGGGGGUGGGGAAAGACUAAGAGCUCUGUAAAAAAACAAACCAAAUGCUGGUGGUGCUUCCACACCUGCAGCAUUUGGGGUGGGGGUGGUGACAACAUUGCCCACACUCAACCCACACACUCAGGAGUUGGGGGGGCUGGUUCUUAAGAAGAGUUGGCUUACAAAGGAGUGAACUUGAGAAGGACCUGCGCCUCGUGUAUGUACAUUUGUUUUUGGCCAGGCAGAGGCUUACAGUGAAAAGCCCAAGGCCUAGCUGACAGUGGACACAGGGGAAUUUGUUUGUUUAUUUCAAUCCGCAUCUGGAGUGAGUCAUUGCCACUUGUCAUGGUGAAAUGGCAAAUCUGGGCUUCCUGUGGUUCCAGAAGCCUGCGACUGGAAAUCCACAAGUGAGCUGGUGGUUGAAGCUGGUUAAAGAACAGCCUAGUUAUUCCAGAAGUGUUUGAGGAUCCCUUCCAUGAGGGAAGAGAGGAAAGUUUAUAAGUAAACCUCCCAUGUGUCUUCAGCUUUCUUUUGCAAAGGAGAAAAUCCUUGAAGUUUGAUAAAGACCAAGUUAGUCUAUCUCUCUUUGCCUAUCUCGAGUUGGGCUGGGGAGAGGAGGAGAUAGGUUCUUUUGUCUUUUUCUGUCUUCUCCCUUCCCCACUUCCUUCCCUCAAGUCCCCACUCGCUCACAUGCACACACUAACCUUGGAGC
rnacentral:sRNA from 1 species